AAAUAGUUCAUUUGGCGGGCCGGACAAAAUCUGUCCGCGGGCCGUAGUUUGGAGACCGCUGAAGUAAAGGAAUUAAAACAGUUAAAUUCCAUUCGUUGAAAAUGACCUCGUUUGUUUAGACUUAAGUGCAGCAUUGUCAAUAUAUACUAUACAAGAUUUGCUUUAUGUAUAAAGUGUGUUUAAUAUAUUAUUAAUUUGAUUGUAAUCAGACAAAGUAGAUAAAGAAUGUUCUGCUAUUUGUUGAAUAAGUUAUCGCAACGAUUUAUAUUAUGCAAAGAAUUAGUUGUAAUUAAUUCAGUUUUGAAAUUUCAUUUUUUCUCAAAGGUCCAAGCAGUAAAUCGUCGAGCAGAGCCGGUAGUCGGCCAUCCAGCCGGCCCAACAGUCGACCACCUAGUCGAGCGGGUAGUGAUCUCUCCGCCGAAAGUGUAGAAGCUUAUCGUAAUUCGUGCAGAACUCCAACUGGUACGGCUAGACGUCGUACUCCCGCUCCUCGAUCUGCUUCCAACGCCAGAAGUGGUUCUACUCCUGCCGGAACGUCGAAAAUUCCAUCUAUAAAACGGACUCCAUCUUUUGGAUCCUCAUCCAGUCGCUCUAAGGCAACAGAAGAAGAUGGAAGACCGAGAGAGAGAGAACGUUGGAAGUGAAAAGGCAGAACCGCAGCCUUUUAAAAUUUUAUUAUCUGUACAUAAUAAUUUAGUUUGUAAUUUUUAUUUGGAAACCAUACCACCUUUGGUGAUAAUAAUGGUCACAUCCUAACAUUUUUUGUAUUUGUAACGUCGCCCUCUAACAUCGACGGUAAAAGCUAGUCGGGUGGCCGAAUAUAAGUGCUCAAACUUCCAAGAUUGGACUCUAGAAUACCCGAAAAUUCGUAUCCGUCGCCAGGACGAAUUUUAUAUUUUUCCAAUAAGGUCACCUAACACGCUACCUGACUUAAUCCAGCGCGUCUUUAAUUAGUCUAAUCCUCGAAAAUUCCGUCGACUUUCGGCAGAACUCUGUUAACAGCCUAAUAACUAUGUGAUUCAACGUCGUUGAUUAGCGGCAGAAGCUCAGGAACGAAGUGCCGUGUGGCCAACUUGACUAACAUUCCAGUGGGUGAGUAUGGGAUAACGUAAUCCAUUCUUAUCCCCUUAUACGAAUCUCUACCCAAAAAAGAAAAACAUCAUUUAUCAGCCUUUAUUGUCGUUUUGCCUGUUUUAGUCAACUUUUUUUCUCUACAGAUUUAUUAAGAAAUCGUAUAGGAACUAGCGUACUCAAUUUUAUAGAAAGAAAACAGAUCGUAUCGGAAUACAAUCUCCAACUGGUAAAGUAUAUUUUGCUCCAGCAAAACUAAUUUACUUCGAUCAUUUCGACUCCAUUUCGGUGGUCAAAGUGCCAAGAAAUUUCAGAUGGAUAAUGCCAAACUCCCAUCUGUUCCGUCUUUUCUCCGACAGCUUUUUUUUUUAUUUGCAAUUUAAUGGUCUUUAUUUUUUCCCUCAUCACAAAGAAGAUAUGGCCUAGGUUUACUCAUAUGUUUACCAUUGAGCUGCACAUUCCUUACCACCCGUUUUGAAACGUAACACAGAUAAACGUCCGUAGGUGAAGGAAAAUCGCCUACUAACAAUAAUCGAUAUGUAUAGGUAAAAGUUUGUCAUGUUAUAGGGCUUUAUCGGACGUUAACCGGGCCUAUCGUCUACAUCCACAUUUUAUAAAUCGUUUAAAGUACUGUUUUGUCUAACACUGUACAAGAUUUUGAAAUAAAUUAUCUAACAGCUAAUAUGUCUUGUCUAUUUUUUAUACUCAUCAAUUACAAAAACUAUGCCUUACUCGACAGUCUAGUUUUAUUUUUUACCGCUAGGGCGAAAACUUCUCAUUAUUCUGAUUUGUGAUUUUAGUGUUGCCAACUGUUUUUCUUUU
rnacentral:lncRNA from 1 species